UGCGUAGGGCGCAAGCGUUGUCCGGAAUUAUUGGGCGUAAAGAGCUCGUAGGCGGCUUGUCACGUCGGGUGUGAAAGCCCGGGGCUUAACCCCGGGUCUGCAUUCGAUACGGGCUAGCUAGAGUGUGGUAGGGGAGAUCGGAAUUCCUGGUGUAGCGGUGAAAUGCGCAGAUAUCAGGAGGAACACCGGUGGCGAAGGCGGAUCUCUGGGCCAUUACUGACGCUGAGGAGCGAAAGCGUGGGGAGCGAACAGG
rnacentral:rRNA from 1 species